GAUUGAGCAAGCAAUGGACAGAGCCAUUUGAGGAGGGGCAAUGUGUUGUCAUGGAAAGGCCACACAUCCUGGAAUCAACUGACCUGGUAUCUGAUUCAGGCACCAAAGCUUAUGAAUCUUGGAAUAUAGUCAGCUACAAUCAUGGGUUAUUCUCCAAAUGAAGAGUCCAAACACUGGCAAAAUAAAAAGCACAUUUGGUCCAUCACAUUCCUAACUAUAAUGGAUGCUGAGAAAUGGAUGCACUGUAACAACCCGCAAGUUUCCUGGUACUGCUGCUGUCAUUGCAAAACCAUGGCUCCUUCAAAGUAUCCAUCUCUUGCCUCUGCCAGAAAAAGCCAGCCGUUAACAGAAACUAAACCCAAGGAGUCAACACAGCUAUGGCCAGAUUUUCCUCCUUGCCAUUCUUCAAACAGCCUUGGAUUCUCAGUAACUCAAGAACCAAAGAGUCCAAAGCCAUGGUUUGACCAGACGGAUCAUCAGCACCGCUCCACGACUGAUGCUGCUUUCCCUUCUUCUCUAGCCAGCUGUACUUCGUGAGCUCCCUUUGGUCAUUCAGGACACCAGAAACAAAUAAACUAAGAAGCAUUAGUUCAUCUCCAUGAGCUGCUCCAAGAGCUUUAAAUGUAGGUCAGUUGCAAAGUCCAGGAGCAGAAGUAUGUAUACAUAUAUGAGACUUAUUAAAUGGUGGCAUUCUGGGAAGAGCAUCACCACUGAUAAAGAAUCAUUGAAACUUUCUAUUUCUGUGAACAGUGGUAAAUAUAAAUCUUAAAGUCAUAGAAUCUGAGAGUGGUAGAGGACUUCAGUGGUCAUCAAGUCCAUCCUCCCACCCAAGGUAGGAUUAUUCUAUGUGGCCCUGACAGGGAGUCUAAUGUCCUAUAUCCCUCCCAUAUCACAUAAAAAUAUCAGAGGAGUCAGUUUAAAUGCACACUGUUCUGUUGGCUAGGGAAGGCCAUCGACUGUGACAUCUAUUGCCCAAAGUUGCAGUCUGAAGGGCCAAAUAGCAGAUAGAAAAAGUUAUGUCUUAAAGAGGGGUAAAGGUCACAACCUAGAAGGAGAACACCAAAUAAGCUUGUCAAUCUCAGCAUCAAAUUGGAAGAAGGUUAUCAAGUAUACAGAGCCAGAACAAGAAGAUACCCAAGAUGCUGAUGGGUGACAAAUAUGGACUAAGUGGAUUGGAGGUGAGCACAUUUGGAGGGAUUUCUGCAGGUUCUCAUGAUAAAUUUUUUAUAUAGUUCUCACACAGAUUUAUAUAAUUGUGCCAGGUACUUUUGGAGGAUCUAGAAGGGAACUUCUGUCUUGCUUCUGCUAAAUGAUCCCUGUCUCACACGGUGGCCCAUUCCAUCAUUAGGAAGUGCCGACAAUCAGAAUAUUCUCCACACCCUCUUCCCUCUGGCCAUAGAUCUGUUCUUGAGUGACACGCAGAGCAAAUCUAAAUUUCUUUUUCUCAUGAUGACCUUUCAAAUAAUUAAAGCAGAUCCUAUGUUCCCGUUCAAUAUUUCCUGCUCUAGGCUACAUCUCUCCUGAUUCCUUCAACUGUUCUCAGAUGAUGUAAUUUUGUAGCUUCCAAACUUUCAAGUUGGAAAGGGCCUCAGAAAUUCAAGUACAGAUCUCCCUCUUUUUCCGGGAGGAAGAUAAGGUUUAGAGAGAAGAAAUGCAGCUUUGGGUAGAGGUGGGGAGUAGAUUUUGCCCAAUGUCAUCUGGAAGUGGCAAUUUCAAAACUUAAACCUGAAUCUCUUCAUCUGAAGUCUAGUGUUUUCCCCAUAUCUUUCAACAAACCUCAGGAUCCUACUCACUUUCCUCUGGAUUCAUUCCAGCUUCUCAGUCUUCUUCUUUAAAGGGAGCCCCUUUUGUUGAACCCACCAGCAGAUGUGGUCUAGCCAACCAAGAGAACAAGGGGAUUGUUAUCGAUUUUAUUGUAAACUUCAUACAUCCAUUAAUGCUGCUAUGAUUACUUUAGAUUUCUUUGGCAGGCCCUGGUGAUUCAUACUGAGCAUGUGGUUAACUAAAACCAUUUGUUUUGUGUGGUUUUCUUUUACUUGAAAUGUGUCAAGGAAGGUAUUUUCCACCUUGUACUAAAAUAGUUCAUUUUUAAUUUAACAAAAGUGUAGGACUUUAUAUUUAAUCUUCCUAAAUAUCUCUUUGUUAAUUUAGUAUAUCUUUCCACCCAGUUGAGAUAUUUUUGAAUUUUAAUUCUAUCAAACAUAUUAACUAACCAUCCAUGUUUUAUGAUAUACAUAGAUUCAAUAAGCACACUGUGGCAAAGACAAUUCUUGCCAAAUAUGCCAUGUACUCCCUUGCUUUACCCAAACGCUGUUGCAAUUGGGUUGGAGCCAUGUGACUUCCCCCAGCCAAUGGACGGUGAGUAAAGGUGAUGUCAUUUCUGGGCCAAGGCAUUUAAGAGACAAUCUGAUUCUUCUAUUCCUCUAUUCCCCUGAUGCAGAGACCUUGAACGCCAUAUGUUCUAGACAUAACUGUAGGUGGAGCUUACAUGAGCCUGUGGCAAUACAUUAAAGAUAUUUGACUAUAUUCUAUUAAUUCAAAUUUGUAUCAGCUACAAAUUCAUUUCCACCCAAAAACAUCAUUAAAGAUUUAGGUAAAUGUUGAAUAUGUCAAAUUAGCUUUAUUUAGCCAUUCCACAAUGAAUACAUAUCAAAACAUCGUGUUAUACACCAUAUGUGUAUGUGUGUGUGUAUAUGUAUAUAUGUGUGUGUGUAUAUAUAUAUAUGUAUACAUAUAGUUUCAUAUAGUUUGGUUGUUUUUUUUUUUUUUUUGAGAUGGAGUUUCGCUCUUGUCACCCAGGCUGGAGUGCAAUGGCAUGAUCUCGGCUCACUGCAACCUCUGCCUCCCAGGUUCAAGUGAUGAUUCUCCUGCCUCAGCCUCCCAAGUAGCUGGGAUUACAAGCACCCGCCACCAA